rnacentral:lncRNA from 1 species
CUUGCAGCUGGACUGAAACAGCACUAUGCUUAUCUGCAGGGAUGCACGGAAGUCUGGUAUGACCCUUGGCCAAAGUAGGAUUAGGUCAUACCUCACAGGCUUCUGGGUGCCAAUCUAGAAAGUAUUACCACAGCUCAUGCCUGAGUGUUAAAAACUGUGUCACAUAGAAUGCUCCCUAUUGACAAACUUUCCUUUGUUUAGCAGAAGCCCUCAAGACAGUGUCAUCCAACACAAGGGAGGAGAUGGAUGCUACCCGGAGAAGAUGGAGAGAGAAUCCAUUACACCUCACUUCCCAUUAAUAUGCCCUCAGUUGUUACUGGUACAAUCAAACUUGCAAGAGGAGGUUAAAAUAUAUCUGUCAAUGUCAAACAUAUUUGCAGUUAGAAUGCAGAUAUGCUAUUUUGGUAUAUAAAAUAAUUUCUUUUUAUUAUAUAACCAAGGUCUUUGGU